rnacentral:lncRNA from 1 species
CCAUUGUAGGUGCCCUGGUCCCCUCUGCCCAGCCUCCAUCUGCAGCUCCGAGGGGCUCCAGUCUCCAGCAGGUCCUCUGGGAGAGCUGCCAGGCCCAGGCAGGUUCCUCAGAGACACCGGGGCCUGUCAGAGUGCCACUGGAUGCUUGUGCUUAGACACCUGAGCUCUGCCUGGAAAGGUGAAGAACAGUUUUCAACAUUUCAAAACUAUGAACACACUUGCCUCAGCUAAAAGGAUUGAUGAAUCUUAAUGCCAAUGUUUUCCCCUGACGAAAUAGUGGGAAUUUUGAGGAAGGGUAUUAAUCUCAGCAGAAGAAAUAUUGAUAGGCCCCUCAACUUGUGUUGCCACUGCUCUGUCUAAUAUGCAGUGGAUGUACUCUUACUAAUCUCUUCACAUAUUUUCACCUGCCCUGAUUAAACUGGUCAUUUCUAAAGUCCCCUUUGCAUCAGACUAUCAGGGCAUAUGCACUCUCCACUGUUUCCCAGUCUUCCUCCUGCCCUUGCUCUUUAUCCAUUCCGACACCUUGCAGUUCUCUAGUUUCUGCUUUGAGCUUUAGGAUGUCCGAAGCUUCCCCCAUCUUUCAGGAGUCUAAUUGUCUCUUUAGCCAACUCCUUAGUUAUGUUUCUGUCUAGCGUUUCCUAUCUAUCUGCCUAAAAUAUUCCAAGGAGGUUUAUUCCUUGUGGAAAGUGGUCCUCACAGGAGGCAGCUUGAAACACAAAGCCAUGGACCGAUCACAGACUCCCUCUGGGUGACCUGUGGCACCACAGCACUACCCUUCCAGUGACAUUUCCUAAUGUCACAGCUGAACCCCACACGCUGCAGUUUGUGGCUCUUUCCCCUUCUCUUGCUCUUUCCCACUACCAAGAAGAGGUCGAUCUUCUCUGAAACCACACUUCAAGCAGUGACGGGCUACUGCUUUGCUGCCCUUAGCCUCCCCUUCACCAGGCUAAAGAAGCACAGGUCCCUCAGCCUCUCCAUAAAGGCCUUGUCCUUUAGACCCCUAACCUCAUCUUCGCAGACCUCCUCUGCACCCUCUCCAGUUUUUGCCCAUUCCUCCAGCACUGAGCAUCCCACCCUGGGACACACCAUUCCAGAUGCUGCCACACCAGUGCUGAGUCAAGAGGGAUAAUAACUGUCCUUGUCUGGGUGGCAUGCUUAUCCUAAUGCAGCCCCAUAUGAAGCUGGCCUGAUCUGUGGUGAGCACGCACCACAAGCUCAUAUAGCAUCCCUCGUACCGUCCAGGUCCUUCUCCUCAGGAUCACUCCUCUACCAGUCAUGUCCCAGCCUGUCCUGAUGCACGGACUGUUCUGCCCCCCGAUACAGGACCUGCUACUUCUCCUUGUACAAUGUCAUGAAGUGUCUGUUGGCCAAAUCCCCAAGUCUUUCAAGGCCCCUCUGGUCUGAAGCUCCCUUGUGCCAGCUCUUAAUGUGUGUGUGCAGAUGGCUCAUGCUGUCUUGCAGUGCCUCUGACAGGA